rnacentral:rRNA from 1 species
AUGUUGUGAACUCGAAGAGUAGGGCGGGACACGUGGUAUCCUGUCUGAAUAUGGGGGGACCAUCCUCCAAGGCUAAAUACUCCUGACUGACCGAUAGUGAACCAGUACCGUGAGGGAAAGGCGAAAAGAACCCCGGCGAGGGGAGUGAAACAGAACCUGAAACCGUGUACGUACAAGCAGUGGGAGCCUUGAUUUAUCAGGGUGACUGCGUACCUUUUGUAUAAUGGGUCAGCGACUUAUAUUCUGUAGCAAGGUUAACCGUAUAGGGGAGCCGCAGGGAAACCGAGUCUUAACUGGGCGUUAAGUUGCAGGGUAUAGACCCGAAACCCGGUGAUCUAGCCAUGGGCAGGUUGAAGGUUGGGUAACACUAACUGGAGGACCGAACCGACUAAUGUUGAAAAAUUAGCGGAUGACUUGUGGCUGGGGGUGAAAGGCCAAUCAAACCGGGAGAUAGCUGGUUCUCCCCGAAAGCUAUUUAGGUAGCGCCUCGUGAAUUCAUCUUCGGGGGUAGAGCACUGUUUCGGCUAGGGGGCCAUCCCGGCUUACCAACCCGAUGCAAACUACGAAUACCGAAGAAUGUUAUCACGGGAGACACACGGCGGGUGCUAACGUCCGUCGUGAAGAGGGAAACAACCCAGACCGCCAGCUAAGGUCCCAAAGUCAUGGUUAAGUGGGAAACGAUGUGGGAAGGCACAGACAGCCAGGAUGUUGGCUUAGAAGCAGCCAUCAUUUAAAGAAAGCGUAAUAGCUCACUGGUCGAGUCGGCCUGCGCGGAAGAUGUAACGGGGCUAAACCAUGCACCGAAGCUGCGGCAGCGACACUAUGUGUUGUUGGGUAGGGGAGCGUUCUGUAAGCCGUUGAAGGUGGCCUGUGAGGGUUGCUGGAGGUAUCAGAAGUGCGAAUGCUGACAUAAGUAACGAUAAAGCGGGUGAAAAACCCGCUCGCCGGAAGACCAAGGGUUCCUGUCCAACGUUAAUCGGGGCAGGGUGAGUCGACCCCUAAGGCGAGGCCGAAAGGCGUAGUCGAUGGGAAACAGGUUAAUAUUCCUGUACUCGGUGUUACUGCGAAGGGGGGACGGAGAAGGCUAUGUUGGCCGGGCGACGGUUGUCCCGGUUUAAGCAUGUAGGCGGGAGUUUUAGGUAAAUCCGGAACUCUGUAUAACGCUGAGGUGUGAUGACGAGGCACUACGGUGCUGAAGCAACAAAUGCCCUGCUUCCAGGAAAAGCCUCUAAGCAUCAGGUAACAUCAAAUCGUACCCCAAACCGACACAGGUGGUCAGGUAGAGAAUACCAAGGCGCUUGAGAGAACUCGGGUGAAGGAACUAGGCAAAAUGGUGCCGUAACUUCGGGAGAAGGCACGCUGAUGCGUAGGUGAAGUGACUUGCUCACGGAGCUGAAAUCAGUCGAAGAUACCAGCUGGCUGCAACUGUUUAUUAAAAACACAGCACUGUGCAAACACGAAAGUGGACGUAUACGGUGUGACGCCUGCCCGGUGCCGGAAGGUUAAUUGAUGGGGUUAGCGGCAACGCGAAGCUCUUGAUCGAAGCCCCGGUAAACGGCGGCCGUAACUAUAACGGUCCUAAGGUAGCGAAAUUCCUUGUCGGGUAAGUUCCGACCUGCACGAAUGGCGUAAUGAUGGCCAGGCUGUCUCCACCCGAGACUCAGUGAAAUUGAAAUCGCUGUGAAGAUGCAGUGUACCCGCGGCAAGACGGAAAGACCCCGUGAACCUUUACUAUAGCUUGACACUGAACACUGGUCCUUGAUGUGUAGGAUAGGUGGGAGGCUUUGAAGCGUGGACGCCAGUCUGCGUGGAGCCAACCUUGAAAUACCACCCUUUAAUGGCUGGUGUUCUAACGUAGACCCGU